rnacentral:tRNA from 1 species
GGGCGAGUGGCGGAACUGGCAGACGCGCUAGACUUAGGAUCUAGUUCCUGAACAAGGAUUGGGGGUUCGAGUCCCCCCUCGCCCACAA